UAGAUGGCACUAUCAUAGCCAAAGUUCUCAACUUUGGGUUUAAGAGAAAUGUUGAACACAUGCCGAGUACCCUGAAGUCUAUUUCUGUAGCUUUGAACAAAAUGCAGGGAAAUAGCUGUUUUAUCGCUCACACCAGUUGAAAUUUGGAAGUAAUUGAGUGAGAUCU